CCGGCAAACGGGUGCGGAACACGUACGCAACCUUCCUUUAACUGGAGAAUAGCCCCUCGAAAGAGGGAUUAAUACUCCGUAACAUAUUGAUAAGGCAUCUUAUUAAUAUUAUAGCCCCGGCGGUUAAAGAUGGGCGUGCGCCUGAUUAGAUAGUUGGCGGGGUAACGGCCCACCAAGUCUGCGAUCAGUAACUGGUGUGAGAGCACGACCAGUCACACGGGCACUGAGACACGGGCCCG
rnacentral:rRNA from 1 species